UGUAAGUUUAAAAAUCGUAACAAGGUCUCCGUUGGUGAACCAGCGGAGGGAUCAUUACCGAGUUUACAACUCCCAAACCCCUGUGAACAUACCACUUGUUGCCUCGGCGGAUCAGCCCGCUCCCGGUAAAACGGGACGGCCCGCCAGAGGACCCCUAAACUCUGUUUCUAUAUGUAACUUCUGAGUAAAACCAUAAAUAAAUCAAAACUUUCAACAACGGAUCUCUUGGUUCUGGCAUCGAUGAAGAACGCAGCAAAAUGCGAUAAGUAAUGUGAAUUGCAGAAUUCAGUGAAUCAUCGAAUCUUUGAACGCACAUUGCGCCCGCCAGUAUUCUGGCGGGCAUGCCUGUUCGAGCGUCAUUUCAACCCUCAAGCACAGCUUGGUGUUGGGACUCGCGUUAAUUCGCGUUCCCCAAAUUGAUUGGCGGUCACGUCGAGCUUCCAUAGCGUAGUAGUAAAACCCUCGUUACUGGUAAUCGUCGCGGCCACGCCGUUAAACCCCAACUUCUGAAUGUUGAUCCU
rnacentral:rRNA from 1 species